UCCCUGGUGACUUGGAUGGUAGAGAAUCUGCCUGCAAUGCAGGAGACCCAGGUUCUAUCUCUGGCUGGGGAA
rfam:Ovis aries breed Texel chromosome 1, whole genome shotgun sequence.